rnacentral:rRNA from 1 species
UACGUAGGGUGCAAGCGUUGUCCGGAAUUAUUGGGCGUAAAGGGCUCGUAGGCGGUUUGUCACGUCGGGAGUGAAAACUCAGGGCUCAACCCUGAGCCUGCUUCCGAUACGGGCAGACUAGAGGUAUGCAGGGGAGAACGGAAUUCCUGGUGUAGCGGUGAAAUGCGCAGAUAUCAGGAGGAACACCGGUGGCGAAGGCGGUUCUCUGGGCAUUACCUGACGCUGAGGAGCGAAAGUUUGGGGAGCAAACAGG